rnacentral:rRNA from 1 species
GAUGAACGCUGGCGGCGUGCUUAACACAUGCAAGUCGAGCGAGUGAGUUCUUCGGAACGAUCUAGCGGCGGACGGGUGAGUAACACGUGGGCAACCUGCCUCAUAGAGGGGAAUAGCAUCCCGAAAGGGAGAUUAAUACCGCAUAACAUCGAUGAAGGGCAUCCUUCGAUGAUCAAAGGAGUAAUCCGCUAUGAGAUGGGCCCGCGGCGCAUGAGCUAGUUGGUGUGGUAACGGCUCACCAAGGCGACGAUGCGUAGCCGACCUGAGAGGGGGAUCGGCCACAUUGGGACUGAGACACGGCCCAGACUCCUACGGGAGGGAGCAGUGGGGAAUAUUGCACAAUGGGGGAAACCCUGAUGCAGCAACGCCGCGUGAGUGAUGACGGCCUUCGGGUUGUAAAGCUCUGUCUUUGGGGACGAUAAUGACGGUACCCAAGGAGGAAGUCACGGCUAACUACGUGCCAGCAGCCGCCGUAA